GUCUUUUCCCAUUAAAGUCAAAGCCUGUCCAGGAGAUUAUUAUGUCUAUGAGUUGGUUAGACCAACUUUCUGCAAUCUUGCAUACUGUGCAGACACUGGCAGCAUUAACACCAGCCCUACAACUGUCACACCAGUGACCAUCUCACCUGACCCCUGCAACAACUACACUGAGCUGGACAAUCCAUGGAG